GUCUAAAAAUCUUGUUCCCUAUGUUAAGGGAGCCUGUUUGUAAAUAGGGCAGGUCCCCUGCAUAAGGACAGUGUUUUUAUUCACA
rnacentral:pre_miRNA from 1 species